rnacentral:rRNA from 1 species
UACGUAGGGUGCAAGCGUUAAUCGGAAUUACUGGGCGUAAAGAGCUCGUAGGCGGUUUGUCGCGUCUGCUGUGAAAACCCGAGGCUCAACCUCGGGCCUGCAGUGGGUACGGGCAGACUAGAGUGCGGUAGGGGAGAUUGGAAUUCCUGGUGUAGCGGUGGAAUGCGCAGAUAUCAGGAGGAACACCGAUGGCGAAGGCAGAUCUCUGGGCCGUAACUGACGCUGAGGAGCGAAAGCGUGGGGAGCGAACAGG